CGUCAUUUAAGGACAGGAGGACAGCAUCGCAAGUUAACAAGGGAAUGAUUAUGACAGAGGAAAACAGUAUGCAUUAUUUAUUAUGAGGCUCAUAUAAAAACCAUCCAAAAAUGGAUGACACCAGAGGAAGGAUAAAGUUUUCAGCUGCUGACCCCAACAGCAAACUGUACCUGCUUCUGUUCCUGGCUUACUUCGAAUGAAAACAUUCAGAGCAGAAAGAUCAUCUGUUUAGAACCAGCAUUUCAAAAGGCUCAAGGUUUUGUUUUUAAUGUUAUGAAUUCAGCACGUAACUAGAAAUAUUGGCAGAAGGAACUGGGCCAUUGGUCCAUGUUGCCAGCUCUCAUUUAUCUUGCCAAAAACAGCUAGUAAAAUGCUGCAAAAAGAAGAUGCCAGCAGUAGUGAAUUAUGGAAUAACGUCCCUUUGCAGGAAGCUAAAGAGGCGCUGGACCCUUCUCAAGAACUAUUUUGCUUUGCUCUGCUUUUUGCUUUUCCUUUCCUUUUCCUUUUUCCCCCAUUGCUGUUCACUUUGUAAUAGAGACAGUCUCACAGUU